AGGGUUGUGGCUCAGAGGUAGAGUACUUGCCUGGCAUGCAUAAGGCACUGGGUUCAAUCCUCAGCACCACAU
rnacentral:tRNA from 1 species